AUACAGAGGGUGCGAGCGUUAAUCGGAAUCACUGGGCGUUAAGGGCUUGUAGGUGGAUUGGUAAGUUAGAUGUGAAAGGCCUGGGCUCAACCCGGGAAUUGCGCUUAAUACUGGUAGACUUGAGUCCGGGAGAGGGUGGCGGAAUUCCCAGUGUAGAGGUGAAAUUCGUAGAUAUUGGGAAGAACACCGGUUGCGAAGGCGGCUACCUGGAACGGUACUGACGCUGAGGUGCGAAAGCGUGGGGAGCAAACAGGAUUAGAAACCCGGUAGUCC
rnacentral:rRNA from 1 species